CCACUCCAUGCUACUGUUAUGUACACGGACGACAAGUUUGUUUGAGAAAGAGUAUGCUUGCUGCCUUUCAUCUAAUAUCAUAUGUUUCUGUUUCCUAUGUGAAACUGAUGGUUCACGUCUCUAACUUCUACUGCUUUAUAGUUUUGCACAAAAGCUUUUCUAACCAUGAUGCUGAUAUACCUAUGAUUGUUACUUCAUGUUCUACUACAUUAGUAGGGAGAUUUUUAUAAAGGUACCAGAAUUUAUCUUCUUCCACAUUAAGUCAAUAUUUAGUAAUGGAGUUCUAUUUUUGUUUGCAAACCAGUUCAUGCAAGGAAGAAAAUCUACUCUGGAUAGUUGAUUUAGUGUUUCUUGAACAUGGCCAGGGCAAUGGAUAAAAUCUACUCUGGAUAGUUGACAGAGGGAGUACAAGCUAAGUUGACUUUUUUCCCGCGGAUUUGCUUAUCGUGAAGAUGCUAGCAAGGAUGCAGAGGGAGCGGAUCAUUUGGAGAGAUAGGAUGCGACUGUUUGGUGUUUUUAUGCAUUUUGUUUUGCUUGUAACUGUGUUUGCACUAGCUGGGAGUAAGUGACUUCAAAAAGUGUAGGUGUUUUAAUUGAAGGCAUGAAAAGCCAUGACAAUAUGUAUACUCUUACAGGAUGUGUUCUAAUGCCGCUGGUUUAUUAUAAAUCUUGGAUUAGUAAUGAUGUGUAAUGCUGCUGGUUUAUUGCAAAUAUGUUUGUUUUAGUUGGAAUUGUAUGCAUGGAAUAUAAUUGGUGGAUUUUAUUUUUUUAA
rnacentral:lncRNA from 1 species